rnacentral:rRNA from 1 species
CCAGACUCCUACGGGAGGCAGCAGUGAGGAAUAUUGGUCAAUGGUCGGGAGACUGAACCAGCCAAGCCGCGUGAGGGAGGAAGGUACAGAGUAUCGUAAACCUCUUUUGUCAGGGAACAAAGGCGGGGACGUGUCCCCGGAUGAGUGUACCUGAAGAAAAAGCAUCGGCUAACUCCGUGCCAGCAGCCGCGGUAAUACGGAGGAUGCGAGCGUUAUCCGGAUUUAUUGGGUUUAAAGGGUGCGUAGGCGGAAUGCCAAGUCAGCGGUAAAAUCGCGGGGCUCAACCUCGCUCCGCCGUUGAAACUGAUGUUCUUGAGUGGGCGAGAAGUAUGCGGAAUGCGUGGUGUAGCGGUGAAAUGCAUAGAUAUCACGCAGAACUCCGAUUGCGAAGGCAGCAUACCGGCGCCCAACUGACGCUGAAGCACGAAAGCGUGGGUAUCGAACAGGAUUAGAUACCCCCGUA